UAGGGAAUCUUCCGCAAUGGACGAAAGUCUGACGGAGCAACGCCGCGUGAGUGAAGAAGGAUUUCGGUUCGUAAAACUCUGUUGUUAGGGAAGAAAAAAUGUAUAGUAACUAUAUACAAAAGAGACGGUACCUAUCCAGAAAGCCACGGCUAACUACGUGCCAGCAGCCGCGGUAAUACGUAGGUCCCGAGCGUUGUCCGGAUUUAUUGGGCGUAAAGCGAGCGCAGGCGGUUAGAAAAGUCUGAAGUGAAAGGCAGUGGCUCAACCAUUGUAGGCUUUGGAAACUGUUUCACUUGAGUGCAGAAGGGGAGAGUGGAAUUCCAUGUGUAGCGGUGAAAUGCGUAGAUAGAUGGAGGAACACCGGUGGCGAAAGCGGCUCUCUGGUCUGUAACUGACGCUGAGGCUCGAAAGCGUGGGGAGCGAACAGG
rnacentral:rRNA from 1 species